rnacentral:rRNA from 1 species
UACGUAGGGUGCAAGCGUUGUCCGGAAUUAUUGGGCGUAAAGAGCUCGUAGGCGGUUUGUCGCGUCUGCUGUGAAAACGCGAGGCUCAACCUCGCGCCUGCAGUGGGUACGGGCAGACUAGAGUGCGGUAGGGGAGAUUGGAAUUCCUGGUGUAGCGGUGGAAUGCGUAGAUAUCAGGAGGAACACCGGUGGCGAAGGCGGGUCUCUGGGCCGAUACUGACGCUGAGGAGCGAAAGCGUGGGGAGCGAACAGG